UUUACCCACUUUCUUGUACGGUAUAUUUUUUUCGUCGAAAUAUUUAUAGCUUAAAUCAAGACCUUGCACACAGAGUUUCGCUUUCAAAGAGCCAGGCUUGUAAUAUAUUCCAGCAUGAACGACUCCGCUAUUAUGACCACUUUGAUGAAAUGCUAGUUUUGGUUCCUUCUCCACUACAGCAACUUUCAAUCGAGGAUGUCGCAAUAAAAUUUCUCUUGCGGAAGCCGUUCCAACAAUUCCACCUCCAAGAACCACAAUAUCAUAUUUCCUAAGAUAAAAAUUGAGGUUUGUGAUUACACAUAUGAUGAUAAUCCUAUUCUGCUGGUAAGAGGUUACCGUUUAGCAUUUUGUGAAUAGAAUUUAAAAGCAGGAGCCACUGCACUAAAUAUUUUACUGUUUGCCGGCGAAUAUAGCUGAUAUAUGGAACGAUUUAGUAUUUUAGGCAACAUACUAAUGUAUGAUUAGGUUCCCUGACUGUGACAGACUGAACGCCUGGAUUGUUGUUUCUAUUUUACCACAGCUGCAGUACUGAACUACAGACGCGCUGUCAUGUAUCAGCUGGCUGCUGAAUUGUUGGAUCCGUACUAAUAUUAACUACGGCAACAAGCGGUUGCGAUCGAUAACCCACCAGCAGUUCUAUCUUUGGUUUUUACGCUUUUUUUCAUUAGCACUUUUAUUGCGUGACCUUCAUAUUUCGAAAGAGCAUCAGCUUAUACAUACAUCGUUCCAUCUGAAAUUCAUCAAACUGAAGAAACAGUGCAAGAAGUUUCAGUUCUCCUAUCGUUCGCUCACACCUUCUUGGCCGGAUGACAAAUACAGAUAGGUACCCAGUUUACAAUAAAAAAAUGUAGUCUACUCAACACAAAUAAAAUAAAAGCAAAUCAUUUUAAAUUAAGUGAGAAAAGGAAAUGCCACCAUAACAACAGCGUAAAGGUCAAAAUGAUUAUCUGUAUAACUAAAAUCUGCAUCAAUGCUCAAUCUGGUUGAUUGGUCAUCGGGAUUAGUUUUGAGCUGUAUCGUAACUCGCACCAUUAACCCCAAACCAUCACCCGCAUAGAUAGACUGAACACUGUGUACAGUCUCUAUACCUGCAUCACUGGGAAUUGACGACUUUAGAAAAGCUCGAGAACCUUGAGUCCAUUGAUUGAUGCGCCUAAACUUAGAUAGCACAAAAUACAUAUGAAGUCUUGUACAUCUUCUUACAUUUGAGAAAAUGUGAAGCUUUUAAAGUUAGGUAUGAGAAUAUAAAAUUUGGUGGCGAUAGACGCAAUAGACAGGUAGCGAUAGAGUUUUCAAAAGACAUUACGGUAAAAUAAAUAGUGAAUUUGGCAGCUGGGUUUCAUGUGUUA